AAUCCCUCGGCGCAGAGCGCCCACCCAGAGUACGAGUUGAGGACGGUGAUGACGACGGGCAUGUCCGCGCCGCCGAUUGCGGUUGUCAUGUGGACCCCGAGGAACAUCGCGAGGCCGGCGACCACGAGCAGCGAGUAGAGCCCC
rnacentral:SRP_RNA from 18 species